rnacentral:rRNA from 1 species
AUUGAACGCUGGCGGCAGGCCUAACACAUGCAAGUCGAACGAGUGGCGGACGGGUGAGUAAUGUCUGGGAAACUGCCCGAUGGAGGGGGAUAACUACUGGAAACGGUAGAUAAUACCGCAUACCAUCGGAUGUGCCCAUAUGGGAUUAGCUAGUAGGUGGGGUAAUGGCUCACCUAGGAGACGAUCCCUAGCUGGUCUGAGAGGAUGAACAGCCACCGUGGAACGGAGACACGGUCCAGACUCCUACGGGAGGCAGCAGUGGGGAAUAUUGCACAAUGGGCGCAAGCCUGAUGCAGCCAUGCCGCGUGUAUGAAGAAGGCCUUCGGGUUGUAAAGUACUUUCAGCGAGGAGGCGUUACUCGAAGAAGAAGCACCGGCUAACUCCGUGCCAGCCGCCGCGGUAAUAC